rnacentral:tRNA from 1 species
GGAUUGUAGCUCAGUGGUAGAGCACUUGCCUAGAACAUGUGAUACUGGGUUUGAUCCUCAGCACCA